rnacentral:lncRNA from 1 species
AAAAGCGCAGCCCUUGGCUUCGCUCUCUAGUGAGGCUUUGGGAACCCUGCCGGAGUCGGAAGGAGUAGACGGAGAGAGAAAAGGGCCUCCUCACACACCCUGGACCCUUGGCCCACUCCUGCCGCGCCCCCGCCUCCCACGACUGGCACCCCCGGGCCGCCCCAAUCCUUCAGCAACCGGUCCCCUCCCCUCGCCUCCCUCCUUCUCGGGCCCCAGCUUCCUCUCUGCCUUCCGCCGCCCGCUUCUCUCGGCACACACACGGUUUCUCUCUGCUCUUCGCAAUCCCCGCUGUCUCCCCACACCGUGGAUCGAACCCUCACCGGCAUCUUGGCGGCGCCCGGGUUUCAACCCAGAGGAGCAGGAUCCAGGUACAGCGGAGCGCUUCCGGUCUGGCAGCCUGGGCGAGCAGAUCCAUUUUUGUCAUGAUGUUGACUUGCGGAAUUUCUAGAGAGAUCAUGGCACUCAGGGCUGCCAAGAUGCCAGAAAUAAACUGAAGGAGGAAACAGAAAAGGGAAGAUGAACUGACUGUUGCCAACAGUUACCUGGUCUGCAUAAAGAGUCUUCUAUUCCUCACUGGAACAGAACUGGCCUAAAUAAAAGAAAUGCAAGCUGGACGUGGUGGCUCAUGCCUGUAAUCCCAACACUUGGGGAGGCUGAGGCGGGCAGAUCACCUCAGGUCAGGAGUUCAAGACCAGCCUGGCCAACGUGGUGAAACCUUGUCUCUACUAAAAAUACAAAAUUAGCCAGGCAUGGUGGCAUGUGCCUGUAAUCCCAGCUACUCAAGAGUCUGAGGCAGGAGAAUCACUUGAACCCAGGAGGCGGAGGUUCCCGUGAGCCAAGAUUG